AUUCACAAGUGGCUCCAGUCUGGUUUGGGGGUCUACGCUUUCUCAUCCUGUCCUGCCACCCAAGUGAAGUUAUUCACAAGUGGCUCCAGUUUGGUUUGGGGGUCUACGCUUUCUCAUCCUGUCCUGCCACCCAAGUGAAGUUAUUCACAAGUGGCUCCAGUCUGGUUUGGGGGUCUACGCUUUCUCAUCCUGUCCUGAGUGAUUCUUGACAUUGAAAUUAUAUCAAAAUUUGUCAAUAAAUGUUCAUACUUUUGUCAUUAA